UACAGAGGGUGCGAGCGUUGUCCGGAAUCACUGGGCGUAAAGGGCGCGUAGGUGGCGGCCCAAGUCCGUGGGGAAAGCUCGCCGCUUAACGGCGAGUCGGCCACGGAGACUGGGUGGCUCGAGCACUGUAGGGGCAGAUGGAAUUCCGGGUGUAGCGGUGGAAUGCGUAGAGAUCCGGAAGAACACCAGUGGCGAAGGCGGUCUGCUGGGCAGUUGCUGACACUGAGGCGCGACAGCGUGGGGAGCAAACAGG
rnacentral:rRNA from 1 species